rnacentral:lncRNA from 1 species
AUAAGCUCUUCAGGAGGGAUAGGCAAGUAAGGAGAGGUGGGGGUGUGGCUCUGUAUGUUAGGGAGUGUUUUGAUUGUAUGGAAAUAGAUUGCAGCAAUGAUAAAGUUGAGUGUUUAUGGGUAAAGAUGAAGGGCAAGGCUAGCAAGGGAGAUCUGGUGCUGGGAGUCUGCUAUAGACCACCCAACCAGGAUGAGGAGGUAGACGAGAUAUUCUAUAAGCAGCUGGCUGAAGUCUCUCGAUCGCCAGCCCUUGUUCUGGUUGGGGACUUCAACCUACCGGACAUCUGCUGGAAACACAACACAGCAGAGAGCAGGCAGGCUAGGAGGUUCCUUGAGUGUAUGGAAGAUAACUUCCUGACACAACUGGUAGGUGAGCCAACCAGGGGAGGUGCCUCACUAGACCUACUGCUCACAAAUAGAGAGGGACUAGUGGGAGAUGUGGUGGUCGGAGGCCGUCUUGGGCUUAGCGACCAUGAAAUGGUCAAGUUUUCAAUUAUUAGAGAGGUAAGGAAGGGGGUUAGCAAAACCUCAACCUUGGACUUCCGGUGGGCGGACUUUAGCCUUUUCAGAUCACUGGUUGGAAAAGUCCCAUGGGAGGAAGCCCUGAAGGGCAAAGAUGUUCAGGAAGGCUGGGUGUUUUUCAAGGAGGAAGUCUUAAAAGCCCAGGUGCAGGCCAUCCCUAUACGCUGUAAAGCGAGCCAUCGGGGGAAAAGGCCAGCCUGGCUGAGCAAAGAGAUAGGGUCACAGCUUAGGGAAAAAAGGAGAAUUUAUGGCCUUUGGAAAAAGGGGCAGGCCACGCAGGAAGAUUACAAAGGUAUACCAAAGCUAUGUAGGGAAAAGAUUAGUAAGGCCAAAGCCCAACUAGAACUCAACCUGGCCUUGGAUGUUAAAAACAAUAAAAAGAAUUUCUAUAAAUAUAUUAAUAGCAAAAAGAGGACUCGGGAGAACCUCCAUCCUCUACUGGAUAAGGGAGGUAACAUAGUGACAAAGGAUGAGGAGAAGGCUGAAGUCCUGAAUGCCUUCUUUGCCUCAGUCUUUAGUAGUANAAAUAUCCAGACCCCUGAACUAGCAGGCAGGGGCGGGGAGCAGAGUGAAGCCCCUGUAAUUCAAAGGGAGGUGGUGAGGGACCUGCUCCAACACCUAGAUGCAAACAAGUCUAUGGGACCAGAUGAGAUCCACCCGAGGGUACUGAGGGAGCUGGCAGAAGUGCUUGCGGAGCCACUCUCCAUCAUUUACCAGCAGUC